CGAACGAAGCUUGACGAAUGAUUUCUUCGGAAUGAAAUCUGAUAUGACUGAGUGGCGGACGGGUGAGUAACGCGUGAGCAACCUGCCCUUCGGAACGGGAUAGUGUCUGGAAACGGACAGUAAUACCGUAUAACGUAUUUUUACCGCAUGAUAGAAAUACCAAAACUGAGGUGCCGAAGGAUGGGCUCGCGUCUGAUUAGAUAGUUGGUGGGGUAACGGCCUACCAAGUCGACGAUCAGUAGCCGGACUGAGAGGUUGAACGGCCACAUUGGGACUGAGACACGGCCCAGACUCCUACGGGAGGCAGCAGUGGGGAAUAUUGCACAAUGGGGGAAACCCUGAUGCAGCAACGCCGCGUGAAGGAAGACGGUCUUCGGAUUGUAAACUUCUGUUCUUAGUGAAGAAUAAUGACGGUAGCUAAGGAGCAAGCCACGGCUAACUACGUGCCAGCAGCCGCGGUAAUACGUAGGUGGCAAGCGUUGUCCGGAAUUACUGGGUGUAAAGGGAGCGUAGGCGGGAUGCCAAGUCAGCUGUGAAAACUAUGGGCUUAACCUGUAGACUGCAGUUGAAACUGGUAUUCUUGA
rnacentral:rRNA from 1 species